UGCAAGUCGAGCGGAACGAGUUAUCUGAACCUUCGGGGGACGAUAACGGCGUCGAGCGGCGGACGGGUGAGUAAUGCCUAGGAAAUUGCCCUGAUGUGGGGGAUAACCAUUGGAAACGAUGGCUAAUACCGCAUAAUACCUACGGGUCAAAGAGGGGGACCUUCGGGCCUCUCGCGUCAGGAUAUGCCUAGGUGGGAUUAGCUAGUUGGUGAGGUAAUGGCUCACCAAGGCGACGAUCCCUAGCUGGUCUGAGAGGAUGAUCAGCCACACUGGAACUGAGACACGGUCCAGACUCCUACGGGAGGCAGCAGUGGGGAAUAUUGCACAAUGGGCGCAAGCCUGAUGCAGCCAUGCCGCGUGUGUGAAGAAGGCCUUCGGGUUGUAAAGCACUUUCAGUCGUGAGGAAGGUAGUGUAGUUAAUAGCUGCAUUAUUUGACGUUAGCGACAGAAGAAGCACCGGCUAACUCCGUGCCAGCAGCCGCGGUAAUACGGAGGGUGCGAGCGUUAAUCGGAAUUACUGGGCGUAAAGCGCAUGCAGGUGGUUUGUUAAGUCAGAUGUGAAAGCCCGGGGCUCAACCUCGGAAUAGCAUUUGAAACUGGCAGACUAGAGUACUGUAGAGGGGGGUAGAAUUUCAGGUGUAGCGGUGAAAUGCGUAGAGAUCUGAAGGAAUACCGGUGGCGAAGGCGGCCCCCUGGACAGAUACUGACACUCAGAUGCGAAAGCGUGGGGAG
rnacentral:rRNA from 2 species